UAAACCCGGGAGGCGGAGCUUGCAGUGAGCUGAGAUCCGGCCACUGCACUCCAGUCCGGGUCACAGAGCGAGACUCCGCCUCAAAAAAAAAAAAGAAGAGCUUGCUGGCAGGGUGGCAAGAGUGACUUGCCACCCCAAAUGGGAGCGUGUGGGUGCAUGUGAACUGGGAACGUGUAGGUGCGUGUGAACCUACCUGCGACAUGAAAGAGACUCGUUUCGUCCAAUGAGGAGUUCUGGGGUUUCACACCUUGGAUUCACUAUAGCCAGCUGAAACCAGCGGCAGCAGUGACUCCGACGAUAACCAGUUGGAUUAACCAACAAGACCCAGAUCGCCCCACCCGAAUAGUCCUACGGGGAAACCCAACCACCUGUAAGAAGGACAACUGCCCUGCUCUGACCACACUGGAGGAUGGUCAGUCUAUGCACGGCUGAAGCUUGAGGAUCCUGCAAGCUCUACUCUGGUCACCUCCUGGAAGCUGACUAGUCUACGCACAGCAGAAGCUAAGAGGACCAUCUCCGGAUAAGUAAAUGUGGAUACAGUUUAUAAACCUAGUUAUAAUUCUGUCAAAACUGAUUGUUCUGUUACGUUAUCAUUGCAAAUGCUGCAAAUGUCUGUGUCCAGAGGAAGGUUUGCCAUGCCCAUGCCCAGUAUAAGCACACUUCUAUCACAUAUACUGAUGUUGUUACCAUUUCUGCCUAUACUAGAAGGGGAUAAAUCUCUAGAAGGAUGUCCACACUGUAUACAUACUACCUGGGUAAGGAAUACCAUAGUUAAAACUCUACUGUACCAUACGUACUAUAAAUGUACAGGAACCAAGUUAGAAACCUACACAUACAACCAGAAAUAGUCUGCAAAGGUUUAACACAGGAGAGGCUUAGCAGGGGCAGCCCUAAACAUCUGUAUGGAGAACCACAAAUCAGAUAUCCAGACUGUAACAUUCAGUGGUCUACGCUAGCACACCCCCAACACUUAUAUUCAGGAAGGACUGCUCUGCUAAGUAGUAUGUCAAUCAAACCAAAUUGCAAGACAAGAAUAUGCAAUCCGUUAAAUUUUACUAUCUUAAAGCCAGAGCUACCUUUUUGGUCUACAGGACAGACAGCACUCUUACAAGUUGAUAGACAAGGAGUAGGCCUUGGAGUUCCACUACUAAUUGUCAAAAAGACUGGAAGGACUCAAUUGUGGGGAUGUGUCCAACCCCACAAUUCCGGGUCUGUAAGUCAUUCUGUAAGCAUUUUGAUCAGUCAGUGCCUGAGCUUUCCCAUCAACCAAAACCUUACUUGCUCAACUAGCUAAAAACGUAGCUGGCAGCUUAGAAAUUUCCUCAUGCUAUGUAUGUGGAGAAACUAAUAUAGGGGACCAGUGGCCAUGAGAGGCAAAAAAAUGAAUGCCACAAGAUAACUUCACUUCGCCUAUCCCUGCCAGUGAACCAACAGCCUCAGCCAGUGUUUGGUUGUUAAAACCUCCAUAAUUAAAAAGUACUGUAUUGCCUGACCAAAAAAAAAAAAAGAAGGCUUGCACAGAGGCAGUAGGAGAAACAACCUGCCUAGGGCAACAGUAUUAGGAUGAGACUAAAAACAAAAUUCUAUGCAGAAAUGCCCAAAACGACUCCUGCUUACCAGAUCCAAACCCUUUAUCUUGGUUCUCUACUCUAAGCCACUCUUGGCAUCAGCUAGAGGCUCCAGAUGCUUAGAAAGCACCCCCUUGCCUAUAUUGGAUCUGUGGAGGACAGCCAUAUCAGCUAAAUAGACAGGGGCAUGUGUGUUAGGAACAAUCAAGCCAUCCUUCUUUCUAAUUCCUCUAAAGCAAGGGGAACUUUUAGGGUAUCCAGUUUAUAAUGAAAAUUUAAAAAGAACUAAAAAAAGCAUAAUUGCAAAAAUGACACAAAUGUCACAAAAAAUGUAGACAUAAAAGACUGGAAAGAUAAUAAUGGCUGAGCUGUCGUAGAAAUCACAGCUAAAAUGCUCAAGUUAGCCCAUGUUCCAGUUCAGACUUGCUCCAGAUAAUCCCCCGAUUCCUUGUUUAGAGGAUGGUUCUCAACCUUUAAAAGAUUCAAAACCCUCACUGGUGGGUUUUUGUUUUUUCUUGGAAUCUGCCUCAUCCUUCCUUGCCUUUCACCCCUGUAAUUAGGAGUAUUCAUCAACUAUAGAGGCAGUAGUAACCUGACACACUGCCACACAGUUGAUGGCAUUAACCAAAUAUCAGUGGCUGCCAGUAGAAGAAACAGCUCAGCUCCGCAAAGAGGUGGCAAAUAGUGGUGCUUUCUAUUAACACCUUUGUUAUAAAAAGUACCAAAGUGGGGAAAUGCUACAGAAAUUAAAAGAAAUUAAAGAAUGUGUAAGCAAAAACUCAGUUAUAUGUUAAAAAAAAAAAAAAAAAAAAAAAAAAAAAAAACCAAU